rnacentral:lncRNA from 15 species
AUGUCCUGUCUUGCCCCGCCCACCACCACCACCCACUCCCCUUUUCCCCCUCCCCCUUUCCUCCCCUCUCCCCCGGUAGAUAACGUGGGGCGGUGUACACGUGCAGACAGAACUACACCGCUGCCUCCCCUCCCCUCUCCUCUGCAUCACAUACAGACAUGCUCUUUCUUUCUCUCUCUCUUGUGCGCACACACACACAGGCACACAUGGGUUCUUGCCAGGAUGAAGACCUUGCUUCAAGGGUUUAAUCAGAGGCAAAGGGACUCUCGUCUGAAGGCAGCCGCUCUGAGAAAUAACACGCAAACCAAGCGGAGCCCUACUCCUCUCCUCCAGCACUGUCCAGGCAACAUGCAGACAGAACUGGGUCAUGGUGAACCUGAGGCCAGCAGCUCCCAUUACUUUACCUCAAGAGUCAGGACCUCGAGGCCUUGAAUAGGAUUCAAACCUCGAACUCUGGCUCAGACCGCCAUCUAUCACCGUCAGCAGAGCUGGUCAGCAGAGCUGCUCCCAACCAGCAGAGCAGUUAAUAUAAAUUAUGAGUUUUGGACCCACUUGUGGGUCAAUAACACACUUUUCCAACUAUGGGCAAGUGAUUGCAUGGUCACAUAGCUCAAAAUGCUGAUUUGAGUUUAGUGUGUUUAUGUGGGUCAUAGCUGUGCAAAGAAUUUGCUCUGGGCUGUAGACGCUCUAUUAGUGAUGGAUUCAAAGAGCCAAAACAUACAACACUUUACUGCCUCAACACCAGUGUUGGAGGUUAAUUCUUAAAAAGUAGAACAUAACAGUAAAGCAUAUCUGUUCCAUUUUCAGUAAUCACCUCAAAGUUACUGAUCCAGUAAAUACAGCAGGUCAUUGCAGUUACAUUCUUAGAGCCUCAUUAACCUCUUAAUUGACGCAAUUUCUGUCACAAGACUUCAUGAGAGCCUAUACGUCAUUAUGGAAAUAACAGAAUUAGGUGUAAUGCACACAGGAAAAAGGGGGCAGGAGAACUCCACAGCUACAUAUAUGAUAUAUUAUGGCGUACAAAGUUGUUACAGUUAAUGUGUUUUAUUUAUUUACACACCCAGCAGGCACAGAGCAACAUUAGCAUUCAGUAGCCGGCGUGUUUCUAGCUACUUGACAAAUAGAAUUCCGAUUUUCACUCUCCUUGUAGCUCUGUUUUAGUCUCCUAACCUGACUGUGCCAGAUGGUUUGUUACACAGAACCAUCUGUCAUGGUAAUGCCAUAGCUGCUAGAUGCUCAUAAGAUUCUGAUGGGUCCUUAAUUACUGUGAUUGGACACAAGCAAUGAGCAAAAAUAGGCUAAAAACCGAGAGAAACUGCAAAGUCGGGUGAUAAUUCUGUGUGAGUUCUCUACUAAGAUCAGCGCUUUUCACAUUAGACAUUGGCAUUUGAUGCAGUGUUGAUUAAAAAAUAUUGAUUAUUGCAGCUUUAAGUACAACAAUAGAUUAUCUUUUUGUCAGUAUCCAGACUAUUUGAGACCAGAAUUGUAGCACUAUUAAGUAUAUGUGAACCUGUAUAUCAGUCGUUAGAUGUGUACAUAAAGCUGUAUCUCAGUUAGCAGAUGUUCUUAGACCUGAUUUUAUUACUGUUUUAGGAUCUAGCAUAUAAUUUAAUGAGUAGUAGCUAUUUUCUUCUCAGUGACUAAAGAACGGACUAAUAUGUGUGUAAAAUAAAAAGUAAUGUGUUUAUUUACUUUACUAUUCAUGUUAAUAAAAGGGAAUGAACACUGCAUGCUGGGAUAGCCUACUGAUUCCAUAAAGACUAAUAAGAAUGGACAAGUUGCUGUAAUCAUGAAACUGUAUUAUAUGUAGAACAAUACGUCAUACAAAUGUGUGGGGAAACUUCAAAUCACUCCCCACUUGGCAGUAUAAUACACAUGAGAUACAGAAUGCAUUUAUGAGAAGCUUACAGUCAGGAGCUCUGGAACUGGACAUUGCCCAAUCAGUUAAGUAAGGCAUCACUGUGACUCAACAGACAAACAUACAACUGAACAAUCUGAAAGAACAAUCUAUUGGCUGAACUCCACAUGGAUCAUCUAGAAUCCACAAGACUCCAUUUUAUUUACAGUGUGAAUGACUUUCUCUGUAAAAUCAAAGGUUGUUCACAAUAAUUAACCUUUGUUUCCUUAUUUCUCCCUCCGGCCAAACAGAAACACAUCAUAUUUUAAACACAGUUCUGCAUUGGUGUAUCUACUGUAUUACCAUUGUGUGUGUCUUACAGCAAACAGUCAUGGAGGAUAGAAACUCAUUACCUCAGACAACCUUUCAAAUGUCUCAUGUAGCAGAAGAAAUCUAAAAGGUUGCACAUUGUUUUCUGAACAAAAUGCAUUGUUUCUGACCUUGAGACUGCAGCUGAAAAUGUAAACAGGAGAAAAUGUUCAAAUAUUAUUCAGCUCAGCUGCUCAUCUUACACACUUUUUGUUCGUAUUUUCAAACAGUAUGUUUUCACUUUUAACGUUACAAGAGAAAAGCUUUUUCUGGACUAACCAGCCAUGUUUAACAAUCGUAACACUACCUGAGAUGGCUGAAGAGCAAACUUCCCCAAUUUCAAUAAAGCGUAAGUAAGAGCUACAGCUAAACAGUAACCAUACAAACUAAUGUAUGUUUGCACCUUUAUCUUAUUAUGAGCUGCAUUACAGUCACCUUAAACAAGAUCAUUUUAUAAGCACGGAAGAUUACAAAAACAAGAUUAGGGAUUAUUUGACCACAGGAUGCACAUGUCCUGGUAAUGAAUAUAGCUAACUUGACGCAAUUUACUACUUGUUGUAAAGCUGUUGCUUGUUUUGUUUUAUGUGAAAUGUUUGUGUUGUUUGUCAUGUUUUAUUGUUUUAUUUUUCUUUUAUCUGAAACUUUAUGCUGCUGCCUUUGCCAUGACUGCCCUGUAAACAGGAUUUUGAUUUGGAAUAUUCCUGGUAAAAUAAAGGUAAAAUAAAAUAAAAUAAAAUAAAAAAGCUAUUACCUGAUUGUGCUAACGUUUACAACUUAUGUUAGAGCAGAUAAAAACAGUUUAACCCAUUUAUUCACUUUUUUGUGUUUUUGAAAAAGCUAUAAGAAAGAAAGACACACCCUCCUAUCUCUUUACUUUCUCUACAGCGCAGUGCCAGAUGGUUUGUUACACAGAAUCCUCUGGGAAGUCACCACAUAGGCAUAGACUGAAGCCGGGCAAGUUGGAUUCUUGCAUGAUUUUGUGGUCACGGGGGUCUAGCUGCCUCGCAAGGUUAAGAUAAACCCAUACACAUGACUUCAAUAUGUGGAGAAAUACAAACUAUUUAUUUAUUUAUUUUUGCUUUUUAGAUAGUGUUUAGACAGUGACAGCUGGAAAGAAACAGGAAAGGCAGGGAAGAGAGAGGGGGAUGACAGACAAAGGACCUCGGGCUGGAAUUGAACCCUGGCCACUGCGGUAAGGACUCGAUGCGUGGUAUGCGCUCUACCAGGGGAGCUACCAGAGUGCCCCAAAUACAGACUUGAUAGGCCUGCUGUGCCUAAUAGCUAUGGUUUGUGCAACUAUGAUUGGAUUUCGGGGGAGGGGUUUAGAAAUUGGUCAAAUCCCGAGGUUUUACAAUAAUCGAUAGAUCCUCUCACUGAUUGAUCAAAUAUCUACCACAAUAUUCUCUGACCCACUAAAGGAGACACAACAAGGACACAGGAAGUCGAAGCGGUGGGCAGGAGAAUAGAAGGCAAAGGGCCAGGCAGGAAGGCCAGGUA